rnacentral:pre_miRNA from 1 species
AUUCUACUCCCUCUGUUGCACAAUACAUGCCUUCUAUUUGUCAAAAUAUAUAUGUAUUUAGACAUGUUUUAGUAUAUAGGUACAUCCAUUUUUGGACAAAUGGAAGUCAAGUAUUUUGGAAUGGAGGGAGUACACA